AGCCUCAUUCUAAAUUAGAAUGGGCAAUGUUCAUUGAUGUUCAAAUUGUUCAACGUGGCUAAAAUUGAGAUACAGGUCAUACUUCUGUCUCAGUAAAAGUUUACAGUGAUGACAAUGAGAAUUGUAAUAUUU
ensembl:snoRNA